rnacentral:rRNA from 1 species
UACGUAGGGUGCAAGCGUUUGUCCGGAAUUAUUGGGCGUAAAGAGCUCGUAGGCGGUUUGUUGCGUCGGCUGUGAAAUCCCGAGGCUCAACCUCGGGUCUGCAGUCGAUACGAGCAAACUAGAGUGUUGCAGGGGGAGACUGGAAUUCCUGGUGUAGCGGUGAAAUGCGCAGAUAUCAGGAGGAACACCGGUGGCGAAGGCGGGUCUCUGGGCCGAUAUUGACGCUGAGGAGCGAAAGCGUGGGGAGCGAACAGG